rnacentral:rRNA from 1 species
GAGUCUGCAACUCGACUCCAUGAAGUCGGAAUCGCUAGUAAUCGCGGAUCAGAAUGCCGCGGUGAAUACGUUCCCGGGCCUUGUACACACCGCCCGUCACACCAUGGGAGUUUGUUGCACCAGAAGUAGGUAGUCUAACCGCAAGGAGGACGCUUACCACGGUGUGGCCGA